UAGGGCGUUUGAACGACAUAUUCCACUUACCCGCAAUUGUUAGCUAUGCACUUCCGUUGUGCCUUGUGUAUUUCCUGUCAAGGUUGGUAGGAGGAAAAGCAGCAGGCAACAGAGACGUGUAUUUAUAGAGUUGGAAGAAGGCAUUUCAUCAUGAAGAAACAGGACACGGAAGAGUCGGCCACGCAGGGCAGUGACGCGGCUCCACCACCUGGCACUGGAGAGAUGGAGGGAAGCACAGCGGCAAAAGACGUUACAGAUACUGUCAGCCCUAACGACGUUACAGAUACUGUCAGCCCUAACGACGUUACAGAUACUGUCAGCCCUAACGAGCCAGACAGACCUUCACAGAUUGAUGGGGCUGAAAGUUCAGGUAACGUGAGCACUGUGUCCUCGGUGACACUGGUUGUCACAGAUGUGAUGGAACUAGUAACACUAGUCAAAUAAACCCAUUUUCAAUGUUUCUUUUGACAGGGUUGGCUAUUUGUCACUAUAGUUUUGAGUAGCUAUCACAUCUUUCAGCCACAACGUGUCAAGUUUUGCAGUAUUAAAAUAAUGAACGUAACUCCACGUCUAUUGCGCUAGGAACCUUCAACAACGCUCGUGACACUGAAUUCCUGUUUACACUUUAGGGUUGGAUAUUUUCACGCUAUUGUUAUGAAUGUUCCAUCUGGAGAAUAAAUCACUCUUCUGAUUGAAAAUUCAAGCCUGAUGCUAGCUGAUCCUGAUGAGCCAUACAUUAAAUACAUUUUUAUCAGCCCUACAUUAGACAAUUCAUGAGCCCAAGCCCCCCCCAAAAAAAACAAAUGAUUGUGCCGUUAUCCAACACAGAAAAACAUAAAAGCCCAUAGAUGUGGCUAGCUCUUAGCUCUCUUGGCUAAAUAAAUGAAACUAGCUUCGGUAGGUUCAUCGUUUUGGGUGUGAACUGUAUUGUUGGGACUGGAAUUACGCACAUCCUUCAAACUGUGAUAAAGAAGGGAGAGAACUUGAUUCUGGUGCAGCACAUGCGUCCUACAAAAGUUAUUUACUUGAACCUUUAUUUGACUAGGCGACUCGGGUAAAGAACAAAUUCUUAUUUUCAACCCGGCCUGGUACCUGGUUCGAAUCCAGGCUGCACCACAUCCAGCUGUGAUUGGGAGUCCUGUAGGGCAGUGCACAAUCGGCCCAGCUUCGUCCGGGUUUGGCCGGGGGUAGGCCAUCGUUGUAAAUAAAUAUUUGUUCUUAACUGACUUGCCUAGUUAAAUAAAGGUUCUUGUGUUGUUUUUUUAAAUCUCCUAACCCAGCUGACGCUGAGACAAUUUCUGCGCCACCCAAAGUUACAAGUAUAGGCUAGUGAAUUUGUUUUUCAUUUGAAGUAUAAAUGGGCCUAUUUGUAUAAUUAGGCUGACUCGUGUGUGGUAUGUGUAUAUAUAUCUUUCAUAACAGUUCCCCUGUUAUUAGCCUACCUCUAUGUAUUGUUGCUUCCUUCCUCACUUUCAAAUGUUAAAUGAAAGUGUUUCAUUGUCCUUACCUUCGUCAUUCUAAUGACAUCCUUGAAUAAUAUAGGACUAGAAUUAGAUGCACUUCUCUUCACAAAUGGUUAUGGGUCUGAAUUAAUAACUGCUAUAGCCUACCGCCAUCUGAAUGGUUAUGGGUCUGAAUAAAUAACUGCUAUAGCCUACCACCAUCUGAAUGGUUAUGGGUCUGAAUUAAUAACUGCUAUAGCCUACCACCAUCUGAAUGGUUAUGGGUCUGAAUUAAUAACUGCUAUAGCCUACCACCAUCUGAAUGGUUAUGGGUCUGAAUUAAUAACUGCUAUAGUCUACCACCAUCUGAAUGGUUAUGGGUCUGAAUUAAUA